GACGAACGCUGGCGGCGUGCCUAAUACAUGCAAGUUGAGCGCUGAAGGUUGGUACUUGUACCAACUGGAUGAGCAGCGAACGGGUGAGUAACGCGUGGGGAAUCUGCCUUUGAGCGGGGGACAACAUUGGGAAACGAAUGCUAAUACCGCAUAAAAACUUUAAACACAAGUUUGAAGUUUGAAAGAUGCAAUUGCAUCACUCAAAGAUGAUCUCGCGUUGUAUUAGCUAGUUGGUGAGGUAAAGGCUCACCAAGGCGAUGAUACAUAGCCGACCUGAGAGGGUGAUCGGCCACAUUGGGACUGAGACACGGCCCAAACUCCUACGGGAGGCAGCAGUAGGGAAUCUUCGGCCAUGGACGAAAGUCUGACCGAGCAACGCCGCGUGAGUGAAGAAGGUUUUCGGAUCGUAAAACUCUGUUGGUAGGGAAGAACGUUGGUGAGAGUGGAAAGCGCAUCAAGUGACGGUAACUACUCAGAAAGCGACGGCUAACUACGUG
rnacentral:rRNA from 1 species